GGGGAUGUAGCUCAGUUGGUAGAAUGCUUGCCCAAGCACAUGCAGAAGACCCUGGGUUCAAUCCCCAGCACCACCA
rnacentral:tRNA from 1 species